rnacentral:lncRNA from 1 species
AGUUACCAGCAUUUUGCUCCACCUAUUUUGAUGACUAAUGCUCAAUGCCUUCUUUCCCUUAGGCUGAAAGGCUGGGAGCCUGGGGGCCACCGUUUACACCCUGGGUGUGGCUGAUUAUAAGAUAGGCCAGGUCAUUCUGAACUAGUAACCAGGCACCACUCUGGAGCUGAGUGGAGAAAGGCAUCCCAGGCGGCUUUCCCAGGGCCACCACAAGGACAGUCAUCUAACUUGCCCCCAAGUGAUUUGGGCCAACCCAUGGCCACUGCAGAAGUGACUGACAGCGUGUUGUAGAAAUCCCACCACACCAAAAGCGGGGGCGGAAGAGUUCCCCACUCCCUGAUAGUGGGCUGCUGGCUAGAGAAGGCUGUGGCCCUGACAGCCUGACAUUCUGCUGCCCCCAAAGCAUGGGGGCAAGACACUGUCCCCUGAGCCUGUGACCUGCUGCAUCCUCACCUCCUGGGUGGGGGUCCAAGCCACGUUCCCUCUCUGAAGAUAACAACAAUUGCCCACAGCCUGGACCGCAUGUUUGCAGUGGGUCAUGGAGUUUCUGAACAGCAUGGCCUAGUGGACAGAAUCGGAACACAAGGUGUCUUGAGGUGAAGUCUGUGGAGCCUCCACUAUGUGUGCAGGAGGUGAGCACUGAGGAGGCCCCGCUGUAGUAAGAAGGGUAUGUGCUGCAUGUGUGGUAUAUGGUGUGUGUGGUGUGUUUUGUGAUGUGUGUAUGUUGGCUAUAGUGGGUAUAUGGCGUGUGUGGUGUGUUUUGUGAUGUGUGUGUGUUGGCUAUAGCGGGCAUAGGGCGUGUGUGGUGUGUUUUGUGAUGUGUGUGUGUUGGCUAUAGCGGGCAUAGGGCGUGUGUGGUGUGUUUUGUGAUGUGUGUGUGUUGGCUAUAGCGGGCAUAGGGCGUGUGUGGUGUGUUUUGUGAUGUGUGUGUGUUGGCUAUAGCGGGCAUAGGGCAUGUGUGGUGUGUUUUGUGAUGUGUGUGUGAUGGCUAUAGCGGGCAUAGGGCGUGUGUGGUGUGUUUUGUGAUGUGUGUGUGUUGGCUAUAGCGGGCAUAGGGCGUGUGUGGUGUGUUUUGUGAUGUGUGUGUGUUGGCUAUAGCGGGUAUAUGGCGUGUGUGGUGUGUUUUGUGAUGUGUGUGUGUUGGCUAUAGCGGGUAUAUGGCGUGUGUGGUGUGUUUUGUGAUGUGUGUGUGUUGGCUAUAGCGGGUAUAUGGCGUGUGUGGUGUGUUUUGUGAUGUGUGUGUGUUGGCUAUAGUGGGUAUAUGGCGUGUGUGGUGUGUUUUGUGAUGUGUGUGUGUUGGCUAUAGUGGGCAUAGGGCGUGUGUGGUGUGUUUUGUGAUGUGUGUGUUGGCUAUAGUGGGUAUAUGGUGUGUGAAUGUGCGCAGUAUGGUGUGUGUGCUGUGGAAGUUGCGUUUGGAUGCAUGUGGUGUUUGUGCGUGUGUAUGUGCUGUGUGAGUGUGUGUUGUGCAUCACGUAUGGUGUGUGGUGUGUGUGGUAUGUAUAUGGUGUUUAGAUCAUGGAUGUUUCUGGUACAGUAUGUUUAUGUUGUGUCUGUGGUAUAUGUGUGCUAGUUGUGUGUGGUAUAGUGUGUUUGUGGUGUGGGUGUUGUAUCUGUGUGUAUGUGGUGUGGGCAUGCACAGCAGCUAACCCGGCCCAUAGGCCGGGAGCAGUCAGGGUUCAUCUCAGGAAUCCCAGGCAGGCGUAGGAGCUGAAAUAUCUGUGUAAUUUACCACAUCAACAAAACGGGAAAUAGGAACCAGGCAAUUUUCUCAGGGGGAUGAGGAACAAGAAGUGGGGGUGUCAACAUCUCCUUCUGUUCCUGGGAACAAAAGGAAACCUCCGUAACCAGAAAAAGCCAUCCACACAAACACCCUUGGUUCUCCUCGGCCCCAAAGGAUAAAACCCAGCACCCAUCCCUGCUGUCUGGGAUGUGG